GACGAACGCUGUCGGCGUGCUUAACACAUGCAAGUCGAACGGAAAGGCCCUGCUUUUGUGGGGUGCUCGAGUGGCGAACGGGUGAGUAACACGUGAGUAACCUGCCCUUGACUUUGGGAUAACUUCAGGAAACUGGGGCUAAUACCGGAUAGGAGCUCCUGCUGCAUGGUGGGGGUUGGAAAGUUUCGGCGGUUGGGGAUGGACUCGCGGCUUAUCAGCUUGUUGGUGGGGUAGUGGCUUACCAAGGCUUUGACGGGUAGCCGGCCUGAGAGGGUGACCGGCCACAUUGGGACUGAGAUACGGCCCAGACUCCUACGGGAGGCAGCAGUGGGGAAUAUUGCACAAUGGGCGGAAGCCUGAUGCAGCAACGCCGCGUGCGGGAUGACGGCCUUCGGGUUGUAAACCGCUUUCGCCUGUGACGAAGCGUGAGUGACGGUAAUGGGUAAAGAAGCACCGGCUAACUACGUGCCAGCAGCCGCGGUGAUACGUAGGGUGCGAGCGUUGUCCGGAUUUAUUGGGCGUAAAGGGCUCGUAGGUGGUUGAUCGCGUCGGAAGUGUAAUCUUGGGGCUUAACCCUGAGCGUGCUUUCGAUACGGGUUGACUUGAGGAAGGUAGGGGAGAAUGGAAUUCCUGGUGGAGCGGUGGAAUGCGCAGAUAUCAGGAGGAACACCAGUGGCGAAGGCGGUUCUCUGGGCCUUUCCUGACGCUGAGGAGCGAAAGCGUGGGGAGCGAACAGGCUUAGAUACCCUGGUAGUCCACGCUGUAAACGGUGGGUACUAGGUGUGGGGUCCAUUCCACGGGUUCCGUGCCGUAGCUAACGCUUUAAGUACCCCGCCUGGGGAGUACGGCCGCAAGGCUAAAACUCAAAGGAAUUGACGGGGCCCCGCACAAGCGGCGGAGCAUGCGGAUUAAUUCGAUGCAACGCGUAGAACCUUACCUGGGUUUGACAUGGAUCGGGAGUGCUCAGAGAUGGGUGUGCCUCUUUUGGGGUCGGUUCACAGGUGGUGCAUGGCUGUCGUCAGCUCGUGUCGUGAGAUGUUGGGUUAAGUCCCGCAACGAGCGCAACCCUUGUUCACUGUUGCCAGCACGUUAUGGUGGGGACUCAGUGGAGACCGCCGGGGUCAACUCGGAGGAAGGUGGGGAUGACGUCAAGUCAUCAUGCCCCUUAUGUCCAGGGCUUCACGCAUGCUACAAUGGCUGGUACAGAGAGUGGCGAGCCUGUGAGGGUGAGCGAAUCUCGGAAAGCCGGUCUCAGUUCGGAUGGGGGUCUGCAACUCGACCUCAUGAAGUCGGAGUCGCUAGUAAUCGCAGAUCAGCAACGCUGCGGUGAAUACGUUCCCGGG
rnacentral:rRNA from 1 species